GAUAUCUGGUUGAUCCUGCCUGAACUGAUGUGUUCAUUUCAAAGAUUAAGCCAUGCAUGUACCAGUUUAAUCGACCUGCAGGCAGCCAAGCUUUUGUUCCUUUUAA
rnacentral:rRNA from 1 species